UACGAAGGGAUCUAGCGUUGUUCGGAUUUACUGGGCGUAAAGGGCGCGUAGGCGGUCUUGUAAGUAAGGUGUGAAAGCCCCAAGCUCAACUUGGGAACAGCACUUUAAACUGCUUGACUAGAGUAUGGGAGAGGUUAGUGGAAUCUCCAGUGUAGAGGUGAAAUUCGUAGAUAUUGGAAAGAACACCAGUGGCGAAGGCGACUAGCUGGACCAUAACUGACGCUGAGGCGCGAAAGCGUGGGGAGCAAACAGG
rnacentral:rRNA from 1 species